AGAGUUUGAUCCUGGCUCAGCCUGAACGCUGGCGGCGUGGCUAAGACAUGCAAGUCGUACGGACCGCAAGGUCAGUGGCGAACGGGUGAGUAAUGAAUCGCUAACGUACCCCGGACUCUGGGAUAGCUGCCCGAAAGGGCAGGUAAUACCAGAUGAUAUAACUUUGUCGCAUGGCAGAGUUCUCAAAGGUCCGCCGGUCUGGGAGCGGGCGAUUUUGUAUCAGCUAGUUGGUGGGGUAAUGGCCUACCAAGGCGACGACGCAUAGCCGGACUGAGAGGUUGGCCGGCCACAUUGGGACUGAGACACUGCCCAGACUCCUACGGGGGGCUGCAGUAACGAAUCUUCGCAAUGCACGAAAGUGUGACGGAGCGACGCCGCGUGUGGGAUGAAGUUCUUCGGAAUGUAAACCACUGUCAGGGGUUAGAAAGUUCUGAUCAACCCCAGAGGAAGGCACGGCUAACUCUGUGCCAGCAGCCGCGGUAAGACAGAGGUNNCAAGCGUUAGGCGGAAUCACUGGGCUUAAAGCGUGUGUAGGCGGAUUUCUAAGUACCUUGUGAAAUCCCACGGCUCAACCGUGGAACUGCUUGGUAUCUGGUUAUCUUGAGCCACUUAGGGGCGACCGGAACAAAUGGUGGAGCGGUGAAAUGCGUAGAUAUCAUUUGGAACGCCAAUGGUGAAAACAGGUCGCUGGGAGUGUGCUGACGCUGAGACACGAAAGCCAGGGGAGCGAACGGGAUUAGAUACCCUAGUAGUCC
rnacentral:rRNA from 1 species